GCCCGGGUGGCGGAAUUGGCAGACGCAACGGACUUAAAAUCCGUUGGCUCCCUGAGCCGUGUGGGUUCGAGUCCCACCCCGGGCA
rnacentral:tRNA from 1 species